GGGCCCGCACAAGCGGUGGAGCAUGUGGUUUAAUUCGACGCAACGCGAAGAACCUUACCAAGGCUUGACAUACCGUUGACCGGUGCAGAGAUGCGCCUUUCCUUCGGGACAAUGGAUACAGGUGGUGCAUGGUUGUCGUCAGCUCGUGUCGUGAGAUGUUGGGUUAAGUCCCGCAACGAGCGCAACCCUUACGGUUUGUUGCCAGCAGGUAAAGCUGGGCACUCAAGCCGGACUGCCGUGGAUAACACGGAGGAAGGUGGGGAUGACGUCAAAUCAUCAUGCCCCUUACGUCUUGGGCUACACACGUGCUACAAUGGCCGGUACAAAGUGAAGCAAUGCGGCGACGCGGAGCGAAACACAAAAACCGGUCCCAGUUCGGAUUGCAGUCUGCAACUCGACUGCAUGAAGUUGGAAUCGCUAGUAAUCGCGAAUCAGCAUGUCG
rnacentral:rRNA from 1 species